CUUCCGUCCUCUUGAGCAGACUCGCCGCCCUCGCAGCCGCACCAUGGACGCCACGAAGCAGGUGGUCAACUUCGGGCCUGGGCCCGCCAAGCUGCCGCCCUCGGUGUUGUUAGAGAUACAAAAAGAAUUAUUAGACUACAAAAGAGCUGGCAUUAGUGUUCUUGAAAUGAGCCACAGGUCGUCAGAUUUCACCAAGAUUAUUAGCAAGACAGAGAAACUUUUGCGGGAAUUGUUAGCUGUUCCUGACAACUACAAGGUGAUCUUUGUGCAAGGAGGUGGGUCUGGCCAGUUCAGUGCUGUCCCCUUAAACCUGAUUGGUCUGAAAGCAGGAAGGUAUGCUGACUAUGUGGUGACAGGAGCUUGGUCAGCUAAGGCUGCAGAAGAAGCUAAGAAGUUUGGAACUGUGAAUAUCGUCCACCCUAAACUUGGAAGUUAUACGAAAAUUCCAGAUCCAAGUACCUGGGACCUCAGCCCGGAAGCCUCCUACGUGUAUUAUUGCGCAAAUGAGACCAUGCACGGUGUGGAGUUUGACUUCAUACCUAAUGUCAAGGGAGCAGUACUGGUUUGCGACGUGUCCUCAAACUUUCUAUCUAAGCCAGUGGAUGUUUCCAAGUUUGGUGUGAUUCUUGCUGGGGCCCAGAAGAAUGUUGGCCCUGCUGGGGUCACCAUGGAAUCGUCCGUGAUGACCUGCUGGGGUUCGCCCUCAGAGAGUGCCCCUCCGUCCUGGAAUACAAGGUGCUGGCUGGAAACAACUCCUUGUAUAACACGCCUCCAUGUUUCAGCAUCUAUGUCGUGGGCUUGGUCUUGGAGUGGAUUAAGAACAACGGAGGUGCCGCAGCCAUGGAGAAGCUAAGCUCCAUCAAAUCCCAGAUGAUUUAUGAGAUUAUUGAUAAUUCUCAAGGCUUCUACGUGUGUUUGGUGGAAUCCCAGAAUAGAAGCAAGAUGAAUAUUCCGUUCCGCAUUGGCAGCGCCAAAGGAGAUGAUGCUUUAGAAAAAAGAUUUCUUGACAAAGCUCUUGAGCUCAAUAUGAUCUCCUUGAAAGGGCAUAGGUCUGUAGGCGGCAUCCGGGUCUCUCUGUAUAAUGCCAUCACGAUCGAAGAUGUUCAGAAACUAGCCGCCUUCAUGAAAAAUUUUUUGGAGAUGCAUCAGCUGUGAAUACAUCUUAACCAGCAUAUGCUCUGCCCCUGAACAACAUACAGAAUUUAAAGUAACUUGAGGAUGGCUGCAAAAAGUUAACAAACACGUUUUUUUUCCCUCAAAUGAACGUGCUUAUGAUAGAUUCUUCUUUUUUCAAAGAACAACAGCAAAAUAUCCACAGCUCUGCAAAACUGGUGGGAACUAACAGCUGCCUUAAUUCUGGCUUGAACUGGAAGCAUUUUUAAAUCUUCCUGUUGCUUUUCUGAUGAAUUCCUGCUUAUUUUGUCUCUCCUACCUUUUCUAGCUAGAUCUCAAGUAUUCAGACUUGCCUGUGGUGUUAAUAAGUUGCAAUUCAUCAAUUGCUGGAGUCCUGGGAACACACAGCAUGGAGGAUAGGUGGGGUCUACCAGGUGCUGAAUCUAGACAGCAGUGGGGUCUCCUCUGUCCUGCAGCUGUCAACAUUGACCCAAGUUGGGUGAGUGGAGUGUUUAGGAGGACCAGGCA